rnacentral:lncRNA from 1 species
UGGCUGUUUGUAGUAGCACACAGGUACGCAAGCGUCCAGAGGAACAAGGAAAACUUAAAUAUCAAAGAAGACAUUCAUUGGAUGGGAACAUGUAGUAGGUGGUUUUUAGCAUCAAAUACCAGUGAGAGUGGAAUAAAAUCGUUCCACGGUAUUUUCCCUCGUACAAACAAGGUUUAAAUAGCAUUUUGAUGCCAUUGAGAUGGGCCACCACUGACGCAGUUGUUGAUUGUGUAGCCGUUACAACCACCGAAUUCUUCCUACAAUACAUUAUAUCAAAUUUUUAUUACAAUCACAACUACUGUACCA